rnacentral:rRNA from 1 species
GACGAACGCUGGCGGCGUGCUUAACACAUGCAAGUCGAACGGAAAGGCCCUGCUUUUGUGGGGUGCUCGAGUGGCGAACGGGUGAGUAACACGUGAGUAACCUGCCCUUGACUUUGGGAUAACUUCAGGAAACUGGGGCUAAUACCGGAUAGGAGCUCCUGCUGCAUGUUGGGGGUUGGAAAGUUUCGGCGGUUGGGGAUGGACUCGCGGCUUAUCAGCUUGUUGGUGGGGUAGUGGCUUACCAAGGCUUUGACGGGUAGCCGGCCUGAGAGGGUGACCGGCCACAUUGGGACUGAGAUACGGCCCAGACUCCUACGGGAGGCAGCAGUGGAGAAUAUUGCACAAUGGGCGGAAGCCUGAUGCAGCAACGCCGCGUGCGGGAUGACGGCCUUCGGGUUGUAAACCGCUUUCGCCUGUGACGAAGCGUGAGUGACGGUAAUGGGUAAAGAAGCACCGGCUAACUACGUG